ensembl:lncRNA novel transcript, antisense to C16orf72
UUCAUCUGAGAUAAAUGCCUGUGGGACAAUUUGGAGAUGUACACCGGAGGACAGUGGGACAUGCCAUCUGGCAGUCAGGAGAGAAGGUCUAAACGAGAGGUCCAGAUUUGGAAGUGAAGACAUGGGAAACGUAAUCUAGGGCAGUGACAGGGCCUGAGGACAGGUCAGGCAGGCCAAUGUGGCAGAAGAGAAGCCAAGGUAAGGAGAAGCUCUAGAAAAGGGAUGAACAGAGGACCAAUGAGAAUGGCAGGCAGAGAUCCACAAAGUGAUCCAGAAGAUUUCUGGUCUCAAGUAUGCUGUUUACAUAAAAACGAGUUACCAGUUGUUGGUAUUAAUUCAACUCUUGGGAAAUUUAUAAUAAUGUUAUUUUAUAACAUUAUUAUAGGAUAACAAAGCAAGACAGAAAUCAAUUUAGCACAUGCAUGUUUAUCUCUUUAAUUCCUCUGUGAAUCUAACAUACAGAUGACUAGGUCCCAUAGGACACAGGAAAAAAAGCAACAUGUUGCGAACAAGUGUCAAAAUAAAGCACUGAAUUAGUCUUUAAGCCUUGCUAACCACUAAUUGAAGUAGCUUUGAUAAAAACUAUUUGAGGCCAGCACAGUGGCUCACACCUGCAAUCCCACCACUUAGGGGCAAGCAGUGAGGCUAAGGCAGAUCACUUGAGGGAAAACUGUCCUCUCUUAAAUACAUAGGACAUGAAGAGGAACUGAGUUUGCUUUCAUUAUAAACUC